UGAUUGUCCUUUAAACACGCUGGGGUAGCACAGGGACGUGCAAAGUAUGGGAGUUCCAGACCUGAAGUCAGUAGGACCACGUACAGAUGGGAAAGAUGUGGCCCAGAAAAGGGCUGUGACUUGUUGCAAGUCUAAUUUCUCAGGGUUUAAUAGGGGCUCAUGAUCUGAAUGUGGCCGCGUGUCCCUCCUCUGCCCCCAGCAUGGGUCCAGUCGGUCCAGUCCCCACGGUGGAUCGCCUGGGCCAGGGUCUGUUGCCGCUGCUCUGGGCCCAGAUUCACUCAUGCCCCCCUGCCUGUCCUUCCCAGAGACGCCACCAGAGGGCGCCUGUGAGCACUGGAGUCAGAUCCCCCUCCCCCUCCCUCCACCGGCGCUUUGCCCCCAUCCUCUGCCUUCUAAGGGCCUCCAGAACUUCCACCUCCCUGAGGGAAAAGCCCAAGUCCUCCCCCAGGCCCACAAAGUCAUGCAUCCCCUCCCUUUCCUCCCCUCCACCCUCUCUCCCCUUUCCCCACUCUGCUCUAGCCACAAAGCCUUGCUUUUCCUCCAAUAUGCCAGCUAGCUCCCGCCUCGAUGAUCAGAAACAGCCUGUCCACGAAUGAACCCACCCCACCUUGCAGCACUGUGGAAGCUGAUUUCAGGGGCCCCUCCCCAGGCUUGAGGUCUGUGACUCUGAAAAAGAUCCACCCCUUCCUCGUCCAGCCUGCAGUCAACGAGCACUUUAACACUGGAGCGUCGUCAGUGUACGGCAAAGGAUCUGCUGAAACACUGGCAUCAUAAACCCACUUCUCAGAUGACAGCUUGAGGUUGAGCAAGCCAAAGGCUCUUGCCGAAGAUCCCAUGGUGGCAUCUGAGCCGAGAAUGGGGUCCUGGGGCGGGGGAGGGGCAUCAAGGCAAAAAAGAA